rnacentral:lncRNA from 1 species
ACCUUUGUUGCGUUCUAGAUAUUUUAUGCAGCUUUGAACAGUGGAGUUGGUAGGAGUUCUCUUCCUACUGAGAAACUCUGAAGCCAUGGAUGUUAGAGACCAGUCAGGUCCAGGAUGGGACAGAGUAGCACGGUAUGAAUUGUUUGAUUCUGAUGUGAGUCCUAGCUGGCCCCUCAUCCACAUCACCAGGUACAAAGAGGUCUCUGGUCAGCAGUCCAGCAUCCUCCAGUCCCCCUCCUUUUUCUCCCUCUUUAGACCCUGAUCAAUCUACUGUGAAAGACUCUCCUCCUGAUACCUGUCCUCCUUCUGUAACGAAGCUUACUUAGCUUUUAGCUGUGAAAAACUCUGGGAACUUCCCCACCCAUUAAUUCUUAUAAAGUCAAGUCCCCAAACUGGAUGUGUCUCAGUGCACCUUGGGCCAAAAAAAAAGGAUACGCUAAGACUUGGGCGUGGUCUGACCACUGCAGCCCAGGACUUCCUGGGAGUGGACUGAAUGAUGCCAGCUAUGGUAGGGAGUUCCGAAUCUCUCAUCCUGGUCAGAACCAGCUCUGGCUGGAAGUGAGAUAGCUGGAAAACUGUCCAAGACAGUUGGGAGAGGGAUAAGGAGCUUUUGGAGCCUCUGAGCCAGAGGCUGCUAGAGCCCCAGCAGCAUGGAAAUUUGGCUGUCACAGAAGCUUCCAGCGGCUAGAUGGCAGCAUUUCCCACAGGACUGGCUCUCUCUCAACUGAGGGUGGGCCUAGACUUGCCCUGCUGUGCUGCAGCACUCUCUAGAGCUGGGAGGGCCGUCCUUGUCUGUCAUCUCUUGUCUGCUCACGUUGAAGCUUCUCAUUCUUCCACAGGUCCUUCCCCUUCUCUUCCAGGUCAGGAAUGAGUGUCCCUUGCUGCUCAUAAAGUUAGUGUUGUAUGAUUACUUGUAUUAUUGCCACUGUAAUUAUGAUUACUAUCUCCUCAUUGUUAUUCUAGUCAGGGUUUGAAGUAUACAUUUAUUCCAAGUAUCUCUGUGUUUUCUUCAUAAUAUUUAAAUUUAUUUUAUUCUAGCUGUGUGUAUAUACGUAGACUGGAGGGACAUAUAGAUUAGAUGUCCAACCUUGUCAGAGGAAAGAAAAGGAAAAUGAAAAA